rfam:Chania multitudinisentens RB-25, complete genome.
GUAUCGAGUAAAUCGUAAAGGAUGAGAACCGUAGAGGUUCGAGUCGAGCAGCGCGAGACAACAUCGCGUGAGCGAUGGCCCGGAGGGCGAGGCGAAGCCGAGUUAUCCUGCACGACCCACCA